AUUGAACGCUGGCGGCAGGCCUAACACAUGCAAGUCGAGCGGAUGAAGGGAGCUUGCUCCUGGAUUCAGCGGCGGACGGGUGAGUAAUGCCUAGGAAUCUGCCUGGUAGUGGGGGAUAACGUCCGGAAACGGGCGCUAAUACCGCAUACGUCCUGAGGGAGAAAGUGGGGGAUCUUCGGACCUCACGCUAUCAGAUGAGCCUAGGUCGGAUUAGCUAGUUGGUGGGGUAAAGGCCUACCAAGGCGACGAUCCGCAACUGGUCUGAGAGGAUGAUCAGUCACACUGGAACUGAGACACGGUCCAGACUCCUACGGGAGGCAGCAGUGGGGAAUAUUGGACAAUGGGCGAAAGCCUGAUCCAGCCAUACCGCGUGUGUGAAGAAGGUCUUCGGAUUGUAAAGCACUUUAAGUUGGGAGGAAGGGCAGUAAGUUAAUACCUUGCUGUUUUGACGUUACCAACAGAAUAAGCACCGGCUAACUUCGUG
rnacentral:rRNA from 1 species